GAUGAACGCUGGCGGCGUGCUUAACACAUGCAAGUCGAACGGAAAGGCCUCUGCUUGCAGGGGUACUCGAGUGGCGAACGGGUGAGUAACACGUGGGUGAUCUGCCCUGCACUUCGGGAUAAGCCUGGGAAACUGGGUCUAAUACCGGAUAGGACAAUGGUUUGGAUGCUGUUGUGGAAAGUUUUUCGGUGUGGGAUGAGCCCGCGGCCUAUCAGCUUGUUGGUGGGGUAAUGGCCUACCAAGGCGUCGACGGGUAGCCGGCCUGAGAGGGUGUACGGCCACAUUGGGACUGAGAUACGGCCCAGACUCCUACGGGAGGCAGCAGUGGGGAAUAUUGCACAAUGGGCGCAAGCCUGAUGCAGCGACGCCGCGUGGGGGAUGACGGCCUUCGGGUUGUAAACCCCUUUCGCUAGGGACGAAGCGUUUUUGUGACGGUACCUGGAGAAGAAGCACCGGCUAACUACGUG
rnacentral:rRNA from 1 species